AAAGGAACCAACUCAAAGGGCA
rnacentral:sRNA from 1 species